rnacentral:lncRNA from 1 species
UUUUUUUUUUUUUUUUUUUUUUUUUGGGUCUUUUCUAGGCCGCACCCAUAGCACAUGGAGGUUCCCAGGCUAGGUAGGGGUCUAAUCGGAGCUGUAGCUGACAGCCUACACCACAGCCACAGCAACACCAGAUCCGAGCCAUGUCUGCGACACACACCACCGCUCACGGCAACACUGGAUCUUUAACCCGCUGAAGGAGGCCAGGGAUCAAGUCCAUAACCUCAUGUUUCCUAGUCAGAUUUGUCAACCACUGAGCCACAACAGGAACUCCAGAGCAACUGCUUCUUAAAUAGCAGUCAUGGAGAAAUCCUAACCUUAACUGAGACUCAAAGUGACCGUGUUAUGUUAUUUUGUAUCAUUCCCACAGAUGCUUAUAACUCAACUAUCCUCUUAACGAUUUGGGUAAGUUUUUCUUAAAUGGACUAUUUUGUACUCUGAGGUUAGGAUGUCCUAUCUAAAUUUUAAUUUCUUUUCAAAAGAAACUCUUACUUAAGCAAAUAUAGUCAUGCUGGCUAGUGAUUAAAUUGCCCUUGUUAAAAUGAGCUUCUAGCACCCUGAAACUCAGCUCACACAAUAUGCAAAGCUAUACUCAAAAACUUCAUGCCCAGCUCUCAGAGUUUGGAGGGAUAAUGAGGACACAUCUGCUUUCCUACUUUAGGGUUUAUCUGACAUAUGCAGUAGUCUGAUCAAAACUGGUCUCAAAAAAAGAAAAAAAAGAUCCCGUCUAAGUUUACUACUGUGAAGUUGUCAAGGGUCAAAAGGUAUAGUUUCACCACUGGUAAUGAUUCCUUUCUCUACCAAAUAGUGCCUAUCCCAAAUUUUAUUAAAAGAGAAAGUAAACAUUGAGGGGUGAACAAUAAAUAUAUACCUGGCCUUCUGAACUAGUGAGAACAUAGCCUGUGGCCUUGGCAACUGUAUUGCUUACUGCCCAGGUUUUCUUACCUGCACCUUAAUGAGAAAUCAUCAUUACUGUGUAUUUCAAUCCUGAUGCUCAUCUCAGCAUCUGUCAUCUGUUUUCUCAAAGUUAAACUUCCCAGAGCCACCAGUAUAGCCUUGACAUUGCACACAAAUAAUCUGCCCUCAAUAAAGCCAUCCACUCAACACUGAAGUCAAGUUAUCUCAGCCCUGCAUAAACCUACAGAAGGGCUAACGUAAAAUAGAAGGCAUGCUGGAAUUUGCAUACCCCUUUGUUUUCUGCAAAUUGUUCCCUGUUUAAUGAAGUUGGUGUUUAAGAGCUAAUUACAUUUAUCAAAUGAAUUCAAUUCAUCCAUUUUGGACUAAUCAUAUAUUCCCUAGCUGUUCAUUUUUUCCUUCCUAACACUGAAAGAAAAAUGAAGCAAGAUAUAUGUAAAUUGACUUUAGUUAACAACUUCAUAGUUUAAAUUUUUCUGACCUAGAAAUCAACUUCUACAAAGAAUUUACUAUUUUGCUGCCCAGACAUUUUAUUAACUGAAACAUAUAUGUUUCAAAAUGUAAUGGAAUUAAAAAGUGUCAAGGGUAGGUGGGUACUAAGAUUUACUGUGCCACAGCUUCAGGAACACUGGAUCCUUAACUCACUGUGCUAUAAUGGAACUUCCUGAUUUAUCCUUUGAGAGAAAAAUGGUCAAACAAAAGGAUUGGUGAGGCUGAGGAUUAGAAAGACAUGUCAAUAAAAGUCUAUCCUUAAAACAAGAGAAGACUGAUGUCUGGAAAACCAAAAUAAGACAAAACUGAGAAAUGUGACUCUCAAAAUGAGAAUUAAUGACAAAAAGUAGUUAAUAUCCCAUACAUUUUAAAUUAGUUCAGAUAAUAGGUUUAAGAUUCCCCAACAGUUAAUAAUCCAGUACAAUUUUGGGAAACAGUGAGAUCUAUAGGUGUUUAUUCAAAUUAAAACAAGAUCAUUUCUUCAUUCUUAUUUCAACAGCCUUCCUCUACACAUGAAUAUUUCUAAUGAAUUAAAAACAUUAUUUAUACUUGCAAAAUUGAUUUACAACAUUUUGAUCAAUACAUUUAAGAUACUGAGCAAACCAUGCCUUCUCAAAGCAAGAAUUUUGUGCCUUGUGUUUUCUCACAUUGCUCUCCAUGUUUGACCAAAGAUGUGGAUUUGAUAAGAAAAGGGGAGCAGGAAUGGUUUCAAUGGAGGAAAAAUAUGAGCAUCACCACUUCUCUCUACAAAGGUUUCUCAGUCUGAGUUCCUAAUCAGAACUCGCUGUGAAAUUUAUAAAACAUGCAAAUGUCCUAGGACUCUAAUGGCAAGAACUCUGCGUCUUUAAACUGUUCCAUGCAUAAUUCUGAUGUACAUCUUUCACUGAACAUACCACUGACUCAAGCCGAAUGACAGCCCCAAAAAGGCAGGGAUUUUUGUUUACUUUGUUUACCGUUCUCUAUUUAGCUUCCAGAGCAAUGCUUAGUAGGGAGUAGGUGCUCAAUAAGUAUUUAUUGAGUUCUUUGAUAGUAAAAAUCCAUCUGAAUGUAGGGGAAUUCAAAUAAUUUAUAUUUUUUAUGAUACAAUAAUUAAUUUUUUUUAAUUUCAAUUAUUCACCUAAAUUAGCCAAAUAUCUUCUAAUGGAUUGAUAUAUUUAAAGUACUAAGUGCUAAUCUUUAGUAAGAUUUUUAAGUCCUGGAGGGCAAACAGACCAAAACCUCUCUUGAUUUAAUUUUUUUCCACCUUUCAUAACCUGUACCCUGAUCAGGGAUAGAAAAAAUACUGAGGAAAAAGGAAGAAAGGAAGAAAGGAAGGAAGGAAGGAAGGAAGGAAGGAAGGAAGAAAGAAAGAAAGAAAGAAAGAAAGAAAGAAAGAAAGAAAGAAAGAAAAGAAAGGAAGAGAAUUGAUAUUUACUAAUGAGAUGGAUGAAUCUUCAAAAGAGCAUUCAAACCCUGCUAUGAGAAACAGUAUUCAUACAAGCCUCCUACCUGUCUGUCUAUAUUUUGCUUUUGACAUCAAGUAUGUUUUCUUUUAACAAAUUAAGUAGAGAUGAAAUGGAAAUAACAAUCAUUUUGGCACAGCAAAGGAAACCAUUUAAAAAAUGAAAAGACAAGGUAUGGAAAGGUAGAAAAUAGCUGCAAACAGUGCAACCUACAAGGGUUAAGCUCCAAAAUAUACAAACAACUCUACGACUCAACAGCAACAAACAAACAAAAACACCUCAAUUAAAAAAUGGGCAAAAAACCUAAAUAGACAUUUCUCAAAGAAGACAUAUGGGUGGCCAACAGGCACAUGAAAAAAUGCUCAACAUCGCUAAUCAUUAGAGAAAUGCAAAUCAAAACUACAGUGCGGUAUCACCUCACACUAGUCAGAAUGGCCAUCAUUAAUUAAAGUCUAAAAAUAACAAAUGCUGGAGAGGAUUAUGCUAUUGGUGGGAAUGUAAAUUGGUACAACUGCCAUGGAAAACUGUGGAGCUUCCUCGGAAAACUCAAUAUAGAACUAUCAUGUGAUCUAGCAAUCCCACUCUUUGGCAUAUAUCUGGACAAAAUUUUCAUUCAAAAAGGUACAUACAUAUAUGAUAUACAUACUGUGUUCACUGCAGCACUAGUCACAAUAGCCAAGAUAUGGAAGCAACUUAAAUAUCCAUUGACAGAUAAAUGGAUUAAUAUGUGGUAGAGGAGUCUCCAUCAUUGCUCAGUGGUUAAUGAACCCAAACCCGACUAGUAUCCAUGAAGAUGUGGGUUCAAUCCCUGGCCUUGCUCAGUGGGUUAAGGAUCUAGUGUUGCCAUGAGCUGUUGUGUAGGUCACAGACGAGACUCAGAUCCCACGUUACUGUGGCUGUGGCGUUGUCCAGCAGCUACAGCUCCGAUUCAACCCCUAGCCUCCUGGGAACUUCUCUAUGCUGCGGGUGUGGCCCUAAAAAGACAAAAAGACAAAAAAAAAAAGAAAAGAAAAAUAUGUAGUAGACAUAUACAAUGAAAUAUUACUCAGCCAUAAAAAAGAACAAAAUAAUGCCCUUUUCAGCAAUGUGGAUGCAACUAGAGAGUCUCAUACUAAGUGAAGUCAGAAAGAGAAAGAUAUAUACCAUAAGGUAUCACUUAUAUGUGGAAUCUAAAAUAUGUCACAGAUGAACCUAUCUAUCACUUGUAAUAGAACAUGAUAGAAUAUGAGAAAAAGAAUGUAUAUAUAUAUCUAUGACUGAGUCACUUUGCUGUACAGCAGAAAUUGAUAGAACAUUGUAAAUCAACUAUAAUUUACAAAAUUAUAAAAAACCCCUAAUCACUUUAGAUAAGAGCUGUUGUUCUUAGCCAAGUUAUUUAAACCUCUGAGCCUCAAUUUUGUCACUUGGAAAAUUACAUCUAUACCACAGUGUUUUAAAAAUUAAAUGAAAAUUCAUGUGAAAGUUGCCUGGCACAGAAUAGACAUUCAACACAUGUAUUUUCCUGUAAUCAACAGGAAGAGAUUCCUGUCUGACUAUGGAGAAUUUCUUUAAGCAAGCUUUAUGUGAUGCAUAUGCCUAGCUCCUACAGCUUAUGUUUGGGCCAGAAGUUCCAUUGUUUUUCCAAAAUGAAAUGCUGCAAUUUAAUCAGAAUUACAUGGCUAAUGGCAUUCUGGGACAGAAAACACGGGGAGGGCACUUCAUGAACUACCAUCUUUCUUUUUCACAUAUCCAAUUGACAUGGGAUGUAAUUACAAGCAAGUUGAAUAGGUUUCUUUUGGAACCAAGUAAGAUGAUUAGCUAGUUGAGACACCUGAGGGUCCAGCCCUGUGGACAGAGAUGUGAAUAUUUAUAAUGUAUUCAUGAUUCCCAAAGAGAUUAUAAUUUUAGAAAGAAAGCUGUCAAGAAGAGCCUUUAGGACAAAGAAGUCAGUCAUGGCAAUGAUCACUAUUUGUCCUUUUAGACAUAUUUUUCACCAUGAAAGAGGUUCAUAUAAUCUUUCCAUAGCAUUUAACCUGUACAUUGUGUGACCGUCACAACAGAGCCGACAGUUAUUAUGUACAUGAAUUAAAUCUUUCUCGUCUCCGAUUUAACCUUCACCAUACUGCCAGUUAUUUUUCCUAAAUGACACAUUUGAUCAUGUCAUAUUCCUGCUUAAAAGCCUUCAGUGGCUCCCAUCUGGUUGCAGAACAAAUACUACAUUUCUUAGCAUCGCAUAUAAAGAUGUUAGCAGUCUGGCUCUCCAAUCUGUUCCUUUAACCUCAUCACCAGCCCUCUCCCACACCCUUUCAUCCCCCUUGCUGUCGUGUCCUGUGUCACAUUCACAUCUGACAUUGCUCCCAACACUCCAAACCCUCCUUUGUCCAAUGACCUUGCAUAAAGCCAGUCCCUUCGCCUGUCAUGCCCGCAUCCCCAAUUUCUACUCCUUAAUCUCAUGUGAGUUUUUCAGGAUCCUGCCC